AUGUUGUUCUUGUGGGGCUGCCAAACGCAUAUUCUCAGUAUGUUACAACAUUCAAAGCAUACCAGGUCCAAAGAGCAAAGAUACGAGGGUGCGUCAACGUUGUACAGUCCCCACACCUUUGAGUCCAUACAUUCAAGAGCUUCAGAAACUUGCUGCAGCUAUGGUCCCACACCAACAAACAUCCAACCUCCUGACAUAUUGGACAAGCAAAUCAGACUGCUGCCAGGUGUCGUUGUCGACUCGACGACUCCUGGUGUUCACUUUGGGGAUGUCAGCUCUGAUGUCGCGGCAAACUCAGACUUCAGGAAGGGCAGCACCGUGAAUGCUACGUUCCAUUCGACCUGUCCAUGGAACGACCUUCUAACCAACGGUAACUUCGCGCUCGUUGAGAGGCUAAACGGUAACAGCUGGAUUCCUGCCUAUGACGAUGAUGAUUGGUCGUUGCGAUUCAAGUGGCCAAGGCCUCUCAGCCCAAAAAGCUUUCCGGCGCUGGAGUGGACCAUUCCUGAAGAUGCUGCCCCUGGUGUUUAUAGGCUGAGGCAUUUGGGUGCCUCCAAGCCACUGAUAGGAUCGAUCGAGCAUUUUACAGGUACCGCUCGCGCGUUUGCAGUGUGUUAA
rnacentral:rRNA from 1 species